rnacentral:rRNA from 1 species
UACGUAGGGGGCAAGCGUUGUCCGGAAUCAUUGGGCGUAAAGAGCGUGUAGGCGGCCAGAAAAGUCCGCUGUGAAAACUCGAGGCUCAACUUCGAGCUGUCGGUGGAAACUUUCUGGCUAGAGUCCGGAAGAGGAGAAUGGAAUUCCUGGUGUAGCGGUGAAAUGCGCAGAUAUCAGGAAAAACACCCGUGGCGAAGGCGGCACUCUGGGCCGGUACUGACGCUGAGGAGCGAAAGCGUGGGGAGCGAACAGG